rnacentral:rRNA from 1 species
AUGGGCUCGAGAGAUCGGGUCCUUCAGUUCGGCUGGGUGGAACACAGGUGCUGCAUGGCUGUCGUCAGCUCGUGUCGUGAGAUGUUGGGUUAAGUCCCGNAACGAGCGCAANCCCUACCGUCAGUUGCCAUCAUUCAGUUGGGCACUCUGGUGGAACCGCCGGUGACAAGCCGGANGAAGGCGGGGAUGACGUCNAGUCCUCAUGGCCCUUAUGGGUUGGGCUACACACGUGCUACAAUGGCGGUNACAGUNGGACNCNAAGUCGCGAGAUGGAGCAAAUCCCCAAAAGCCGUCUCAGUUCGGAUCGCACUCUGCAACUCGAGUGCGUGAANUUGGAAUCGCUAGUUAUCGCGGAUCAGCACGCCGCGGUGAAUACGUGCCCGGGUCUUGUUCACACCG